CUCAGUGUACCGCAAAAUUUUAUAUGGACACAGUGUACCACCAACAUUUCAAAUGGACACCGUGUACCCCCAACAUUCUAUAUGGACAUAGUGUACGAGAGAACUUUAUAUGGUCACAGUAUACCCCAACAUUUUAUAUAAUCACAGUGUACCCCAGCAUUUUAUAUGGACACCAUGUACCCCCAACAUUUCAAAUGGACACCGUGUACCCCAAC